rnacentral:rRNA from 1 species
CCUACGGGUGGCAGCAGUGGGGAAUAUUGGACAAUGGGGGGAACCCUGAUCCAGCGACGCCGCGUGAGUGAAGAAGUAUUUCGGUAUGUAAAGCUCUAUCAGCAGGGAAGAAAGAAAUGACGGUACCUGACUAAUAAGCCCCGGCUAACUACGUGCCAGCCGCCGCGGUAAUACGUAGGAGGCACGCGUUAUCAGGAUUUACUUGGUGUAAAGGGAGCGUAGACGGCGAUGCAAGUCUGAAGUGAACUGCGGGGGCCAAACGCCCGGACUGCUUUGGAAACUGUAUGGCUGGAGUGCAGGAGAGGGAAGUGGAAGUCCUAGUGUAGCGGGGAAAUGCGUAGAUAUUAGGAGGGACACCAGUGGCGAAGGCGGCUUACUGGACUGUAACUGACGUUGAGGCUCGAAAGCGUGGGGAGCAAACAGGAUUAGAUACCCUUGUAGUC